rnacentral:rRNA from 1 species
GAUGAACGCUGGCGGCGUGCCUAAUACAUGCAAGUCGAACGGUCAAGCGACAGCUUUCUGCCUCUGACCAUUGGCGCACACGUGUGAAUCACGUGUGGAUCCCCUCCCUAUCAGUCUGAGAUAACUUGGGGACAGCGGAGAAUAUCCCGGAUGCUACAUUAAACCACAUUCUUCGGUAGUAAAGGACGUUUUUUCUGGUACUUGUUAGCGGCUCCGCGCCGCAUUAGCUAGUUGGUAAGGUAACGGCUUACCAAGGCGACGAUGCGUAGCCGAGCUGAGAGGGUGAUCGGCCACACUGGAACUGAGACACGGUCCAGACUCCUACGGGAGGCAGCAGUAGGGAAUCUGCCGCAAUGGGCGAAAGCCUGACGGAGCAACGCCGCGUGAGUGAUGAAGGUCUUCGGAGCGUAAAACUCUGUUAUGAGGGAAGAACAAAUGUGUAAGUAACUAUGCACGUCUUGACGGUACCUAAUCAGAAAGCCACGGCUAACUACGUG